rnacentral:rRNA from 1 species
GUAGGUGGCAAGCGUUGUCCGGAAUUAUUGGGCGUAAAGCGCGCGCAGGCGGUUCUUUAAGUCUGAUGUGAAAGCCCACGGCUCAACCGUGGAGGGUCAUUGGAAACUGGAGAACUUGAGUACAGAAGAGGAAAGCGGAAUUCCACGUGUAGCGGUGAAAUGCGUAGAGAUGUGGAGGAACACCAGUGGCGAAGGCGGCUUUCUGGUCUGUAACUGACGCUGAGGCGCGAAAGCGUGGGGGGCAAACAGGGAUUAGAUACCCUGGUAGUCCACGCCGUAAACGAUGAGUGCUAAGUGUUAGGGGGGUUUCCGCCCCCUUAGUGCUGCAGCUAACGCAUUAAGCACUCCGCCUGGGGAGUACGGCCGCAAGGCUG